CCUACGGGAGGCAGCAGUGAGGAAUAUUGGUCAAUGGCCGGGAGGCUGAACCAGCCAAGUCGCGUGAAGGAUUACGGCCCUACGUGUUGUAAACCUCUUUUGUCAGGGAGCAAAUGCGUCCACGUGUGGGCUGAGGGAGAGUACCUGAAGAAAAAGCAUCGGCUAACUCCGUGCCAGCAGCCGCGGUAAUACGGAGGAUGCGAGCGUUAUCCGGAUUUAUUGGGUUUAAAGGGUGCGUAGGCGGAAUAUCAAGUCAGCGGUAAAAAUUCGGGGCUCAACCCCGUCGUGCCGUUGAAACUGAUGUUCUUGAGUGGGCGAGAAGUAUGCGGAAUGCGUGGUGUAGCGGUGAAAUGCAUAGAUAUCACGCAGAACGCCGAUUGCGAAGGCAGCAUACCGGCGCCCAACUGACGCUGAGGCACGAAAGCGUGGGUAUCGAACAGGAUUAGAUACCCGAGUAGUC
rnacentral:rRNA from 1 species